UGCCUGGCUCUCUCUGGAAGACUAGUGAUUUUGUUGUUGUAUGGCUCAUCCCACCACAACAAGUCACAGUCUGCCCUAGGGUGCACGGCC
rnacentral:pre_miRNA from 1 species